rnacentral:rRNA from 1 species
AUUGAACGCUGGCGGCAUGCUUUACACAUGCAAGUCGAACGGUAACAGGCCGCAAGGUGCUGACGAGUGGCGAACGGGUGAGUAAUGCAUCGGAACGUGCCCAGUCGUGGGGGAUAACUACUCGAAAGAGUAGCUAAUACCGCAUACGAUCUAUGGAUGAAAGCGGGGGACCGUAAGGCCUCGCGCGAUUGGAGCGGCCGAUGUCAGAUUAGGUAGUUGGUGGGGGAAAGGCUCACCAAGCCAACGAUCUGUAGCGGGUCUGAGAGGACGACCAGCCACACUGGGACUGAGACACGGCCCAGACUCCUACGGGAGGCAGCAGUGGGGAAUUUUGGACAAAGGGCGCAAGCCUGAUCCAGCAAUGCCGCGUGCAGGAAGAAGGCCUUCGGGUUGUAAACUGCUUUUGUACGGAACGAAACGGCUCUGGUUAAUACCCGGGGCUAAUGACGGUACCGUAAGAAUAAGCACCGGCUAACUACGUG